AAAGUUGCUGCAGUUAAAAAGCUCGUAGUUGGAUCUCGGGAUCGAGCUGACGGUCUGCCGCGAGGCGAGCUACCAUCUGUCCCAGCCCCUGCCUCUCGGUGCCCCCUUGAUGCUCUUAGCUGAGUGUCCCGCGGGGUCUGAAGCGUUUACUUUGAAAAAAAGUGUUCAAAGCAGGCCCGGUCGCCUGAAUACCGCAGCUAGGAAUAAUGGAAUAGGACUCCGGUUAUAUUUUUUGUGGGUUUUCUCUCUGAACUGGGGCCAUAAUUUAGAGGAAAGGCCGGGGGCAUUCGUAUUGUGCCGCUAGAGGCGAAAUUCUUGGACCGGCGCAAGACAGAUGAAAGCAAAAGCAUUUGCCAAGAAUGUUUUCAUUAAUCAAGAAAGAAAGUCGAAGGUUAGAAGGCGAUCAGAUUCCGUGGUAGUUUGACCAUAAACGAUGCCAACGAGUGAUCCGGCGGCGUUAUUCCCAUGACCUGCCAGGCAGCGUCCGGGAAACCAAAGUCUUUGGGUUCCG
rnacentral:ncRNA from 1 species